GAAGGCGUUUUGAUGUCGUGUGCAGCAGCUAUUCGUUUCGAAGGGGAUUUGUAUAAUCUUAAGCUGUCCAAGUACCGCUAUCCAUAAAAUUGCCCUUCGGGGCUCGGACCAAGGACGCUCACAAGCGAUGGCGUAUAUUUGUAAAAAAAGCGAUUGCAGCGUUACAAAUCGUAUUGUAACUUGUAAUCUGGACGCGUUUAAGAGCAAAUCUACUGUAAAUCAGGCUUUUUCAUGGCAACAAAAGAUCAUUAAGAUUUUGGCCUGUAUUCAUAGUUUUGGCGAAAUUCAAGAGACACUGCCCCCCUAAAUCGUGUAAAAAAAACCAUUCAAAGUAUCUAUUUGCUGACCAUCCCUGUUGAACUACAUCACAUAGCCAUACUCAAAACAAAUGGAUUCCCGAUCGAUCGAGGACAAAUUAAUAAUUAGAACAUUACAUGUGCAUACAAAAUCCACCCAGAAGAUAGUUGUUUGGACUAACGCUUCAAAAAGAUUGAUUUCAGCAAGCGGUAAAAAUUAUAUUAUAAAUUAAUGUGUGUGUUUAUUAUAGUUUUAAACGCAAUGCAUAUAUUUAAGAACUGUUUAACGAACUAAUUGAA